rnacentral:misc_RNA from 1 species
GUAGGUGAACCUGCGGAGGGAUCAUUACCGAGUGAGGGCCCUCGCGCCCGACCUCCAACCCUUUGUCGAUCAAUAUCUGUUGCCUCGGGGGGCGACCCGGCCGUCCGCGGGCGGGGGUCCUCCAGAGGACCAAUCAACUCUGCAUCCUUGCGUCGAGUAUUGAAUACAAAUCAAUCAAAACUUUUAACAACGGAUCUCUUGGUUCUG